AACGAACGCUGGCGGCAUGCCUAACACAUGCAAGUCGAACGAGCCCUUCGGGGUUAGUGGCGCACGGGUGCGUAACGCGUGGGAAUCUGCCCUUUGCUUCGGAAUAACUGAGAGAAAUUUCAGCUAAUACCGGAUGAUGUCUUCGGACCAAAGAUUUAUCGGCGAGGGAUGAGCCCGCGUAGGGUUAGCUAGUGGGUGGGGUAAUGGCCUACCAAGGCGACGGUCCUUAGCUGGUCUGAGAGGAUGAUCAGCCACACUGGGACUGAGACACGGCCCAGACUCCUACGAGAGGCAGCAGUGGGGAAUAUUGGACAAUGGGGGAAACCCUGAUCCAGCAAUGCCGCGUGAGUGAUGAAGGCCUUAGGGUUGUAAAGCUCUUUUACCAGGGAUGAUAAUGACAGUACCUGGAGAAUAAGCUCCGGCUAACUCCGUGCCAGCCGCCGCAGUAACAC
rnacentral:rRNA from 1 species